GAGGUCUCGCCUGCCCAGUGAAACUCUUUCAACGGCCGCGGUAUUCUAACCGUGCAAAGGUAGCGUAAUCACUUGUCUUCUAAAUAAAGACUCGUAUGAACGGCUAAAUGAGGACAAACCUGUCUCCUAUGACCAAUCAGUGAAACUGAUCUUCCAGUCCAAAAGCUGGAAUACACCCAUAAGACGAGAAGACCCUGUGGAGCUUAAAACCAAGUACCAAUAUUUUAAACCUGGUACACGGUUUUGGGUUGGGGCGACCUUGGAACAAAACACAACUUCCAAGCACAGAGGCAACCCCUCUUUACAAGGCCUACAAGCCAAAAUUAAAUGACCCAGUCACACUGAUCAACGAACCAAGUUACCCCAGGGAUAACAGCGCUAUCUUCUUCAAGAGUCCAUAUCGACAAGAAGGUUUACGACCUCGAUGUUGGAUCAGGACACCCAAAUGGUGCAGCCGCUAUUAAAGGUUCGUUUGUUCAACGAUUAACAGUCCUACGUGAUCUGAGU
rnacentral:rRNA from 1 species